CGACACACUAUCGUUAACUGAAUACAUAGGUUAACGAGGCGAACCGGGGGAACUGAAACAUCUAAGUACCCCGAGGAAAAGAAAUCAACCGAGAUUCCCCCAGUAGCGGCGAGCGAACGGGGAGCAGCCCGGAGUCUGAAUCAGCUUGUGUGUUAGUGGAACGGUCUGGAAAGUCCGACGGUACAGGGUGAUAGUCCCGUACACGAAAAUGCACAUGCUGUGAACUCGAAGAGUAGGGCGGGACACGUGGUAUCCUGUCUGAAUAUGGGGGGACCAUCCUCCAAGGCUAAAUACUCCUGACUGACCGAUAGUGAACCAGUACCGUGAGGGAAAGGCGAAAAGAACCCCGGCGAGGGGAGUGAAAAAGAACCUGAAACCGUGUACGUACAAGCAGUGGGAGCACCUUCGUGGUGUGACUGCGUACCUUUUGUAUAAUGGGUCAGCGACUUAUAUUCUGUAGCAAGGUUAACCGUAUAGGGGAGCCGAAGGGAAACCGAGUCUUAACUGGGCGUUAAGUUGCAGGGUAUAGACCCGAAACCCGGUGAUCUAGCCAUGGGCAGGUUGAAGGUUGGGUAACACUAACUGGAGGACCGAACCGACUAAUGUUGAAAAAUUAGCGGAUGACCUGUGGCUGGGGGUGAAAGGCCAAUCAAACCGGGAGAUAGCUGGUUCUCCCCGAAAGCUAUUUAGGUAGCGCCUCGUGAACUCAUCUUCGGGGGUAGAGCACUGUUUCGGCUAGGGGGCCAUCCCGGCUUACCAACCCGAUGCAAACUACGAAUACCGAAGAAUGUUAUCACGGGAGACACACGGCGGGUGCUAACGUCCGUCGUGAAGAGGGAAACAACCCAGACCGCCAGCUAAGGUCCCAAAGUCAUGGUUAAGUGGGAAACGAUGUGGGAAGGCACAGACAGCCAGGAUGUUGGCUUAGAAGCAGCCAUCAUUUAAAGAAAGCGUAAUAGCUCACUGGUCGAGUCGGCCUGCGCGGAAGAUGUAACGGGGCUAAACCAUGCACCGAAGCUGCGGCAGCGACACUAUGUGUUGUUGGGUAGGGGAGCGUUCUGUAAGCCGUUGAAGGUGUGCUGUGAGGCAUGCUGGAGGUAUCAGAAGUGCGAAUGCUGACAUAAGUAACGAUAAAGCGGGUGAAAAGCCCGCUCGCCGGAAGACCAAGGGUUCCUGUCCAACGUUAAUCGGGGCAGGGUGAGUCGACCCCUAAGGCGAGGCCGAAAGGCGUAGUCGAUGGGAAACAGGUUAAUAUUCCUGUACUUGGUGUUACUGCGAAGGGGGGACGGAGAAGGCUAUGUCAGCCGGGCGACGGUUGUCCCGGUUUAAGCAUGUAGGCGGAGGUUCCAGGUAAAUCCGGUACCUUUUAACGCUGAGGUGUGAUGACGAGGCACUACGGUGCUGAAGUGAUAAAUGCCCUGCUUCCAGGAAAAGCCUCUAAGCAUCAGGUAACACGAAAUCGUACCCCAAACCGACACAGGUGGUCAGGUAGAGAAUACCAAGGCGCUUGAGAGAACUCGGGUGAAGGAACUAGGCAAAAUGGUGCCGUAACUUCGGGAGAAGGCACGCUGAUAUGUAGGUGAAGCCCCUGCGGGCGGAGCUGAAAUCAGUCGAAGAUACCAGCUGGCUGCAACUGUUUAUUAAAAACACAGCACUGUGCAAACACGAAAGUGGACGUAUACGGUGUGACGCCUGCCCGGUGCCGGAAGGUUAAUUGAUGGGGUUAGCGGCAACGCGAAGCUCUUGAUCGAAGCCCCGGUAAACGGCGGCCGUAACUAUAACGGUCCUAAGGUAGCGAAAUUCCUUGUCGGGUAAGUUCCGACCUGCACGAAUGGCGUAAUGAUGGCCAGGCUGUCUCCACCCGAGACUCAGUGAAAUUGAACUCGCUGUGAAGAUGCAGUGUACCCGCGGCAAGACGGAAAGACCCCGUGAACCUUUACUAUAGCUUGACACUGAACACUGGUCCUUGAUGUGUAGGAUAGGUGGGAGGCUUUGAAGCGUGGACGCCAGUCUGCGUGGAGCCGCCCUUGAAAUACCACCCUUUAAUGGCUGGUGUUCUAACGUAGACCCGUGAUCCGGGUUGCGGACAGUGUCUGGUGGGUAGUUUGACUGGGGCGGUCUCCUCCCAAAGAGUAACGGAGGAGCACGAAGGUUGGCUAAUCCUGGUCGGACAUCAGGAGGUUAGUGCAAUGGCAUAAGCCAGCUUGACUGCGAGCGUGACGGCGCGAGCAGGUGCGAAAGCAGGUCAUAGUGAUCCGGUGGUUCUGAAUGGAAGGGCCAUCGCUCAACGGAUAAAAGGUACUCCGGGGAUAACAGGCUGAUACCGCCCAAGAGUUCAUAUCGACGGCGGUGUUUGGCACCUCGAUGUCGGCUCAUCACAUCCUGGGGCUGAAGUAGGUCCCAAGGGUAUGGCUGUUCGCCAUUUAAAGUGGUACGCGAGCUGGGUUUAGAACGUCGUGAGACAGUUCGGUCCCUAUCUGCCGUGGGCGCUGGAGAAUUGAGGGGGGCUGCUCCUAGUACGAGAGGACCGGAGUGGACGCAUCACUGGUGUUCGGGUUGUCAUGCCAAUGGCACUGCCCGGUAGCUAAAUGCGGAAGAGAUAAGUGCUGAAAGCAUCUAAGCACGAAACUUGCCCCGAGAUGAGUUCUCCCUGAGAC
rnacentral:rRNA from 1 species